rnacentral:rRNA from 1 species
AAUGCGAUARGUAAUGUGAAUUGCAGAAUUCAGUGAAUCAUCGAAUCUUUGAACGCACCUUGCGCUCCUUGGUAUUCCGAGGAGCAUGCCUGUUUGAGUGUCAU